GGGGACCUAGGUGAGGACAGGCAUUUCCUGCCCAAAUGUUGCAUUUCCCAAGACCACCCUGGCCCACCACGCCCCCAUCCUGGGCCUAUAAAAACCCAAGACCCUGGCGGGAAGACACAGAAGUGGUUGGGCGUCGUGAGGAACGCAUCGGCGGCAGAACACUCAAGCGGCUGGUUGUUGAGAGCACGCCAGCUGAAGAGCACCCCUGCACACUGGCAGGCCAUCCACAGGUGUCAGAAACUCAGCUCAGCUGGAAGAAACUUGAUGUACCAGGUAUCAGAGUAGCAAGUAAAGCCACAAGCCAAAAAUGAAAGAGAAUCUUUUAAGUGCUUAUCGUGAUGGUGUAAGUAAUUGUCCAAAAGAAACGCCGAUUCCUUCUGUUCCAUUUUUACCUGUGGAUUGUGGAUUGAAAUAACCAUUGGACCAUGAGGAGAGACUCUGAAGAGAGGCUAGUGAUAUGUGAUAUAAUACUCUUUUGUGACGUUGGACCAUGGCAGUGAGCCGCAGCUCCCAGUCAGCAAUGCGAUCCCAAGAAUAAACAACCGAUUCUUGACAGUGUCCUAUGUUGCCAGUCGAUUUUGUUCAACAGUAGGUACAUAUCACCUGUAGACCCAAAACAACUUCAAAUAGCCAUUUCCUUCACUGCUGUGAGCAGAUGUAGACAGUCCAGAGGCCUCAACACUCCUGAGCCCUUAGAAUUGAAGGUGAAGAAAUGAACAACUUUUGAGGAUGACUAAGGGGAAAUUUUUAAUUGUGAUAAGGGAGGAACUAUAUCAAACUACUUUAAAACUAUUCACUUAGCUAGAUAAGGAAAUGAAGGCACAAAGAAGUCAAGUGCUUUUCCAAUGCCAGAGAAGUAAGAGGCACUGCACCCGACUCUGAGGAUGGGAUGGGAACCAGAAAUAAAUCAUCAUCUUGCUCCAUACUUUGUGAUAGAGAAACGAAGAGAGUUGAGACAGAGAUAGUCCAACAGAUCAAUAUGAAAUGCAUUAUCAGAGAAACAGUCUGAAGGAAAUAGCAUUUUAACAAAAGCCUCUGGUAAUUUGGGAGGGGAAAAGACUCUGAGAAAGUGAAAUUUAACUGAGCAACAUUAUCAAAGACCA
rnacentral:lncRNA from 1 species